UACGUAGGGUGCGAGCGUUGUCCGGAUUUAUUGGGCGUAAAGAGCGUGUAGGCGGCCAGGUAGGUCUGCUGUGAAAACUCGAGGCUUAACCUCGAGCUGUCGGCGGAAACCAUCUGGCUAGAGUCCGGAAGAGGAGAAUGGAAUUCCCGGUGUAGCGGUGAAAUGCGCAGAUAUCGGGAAGAACACCCGUGGCGAAGGCGGUUCUCUGGGACGGUACUGACGCUGAGACGCGAAAGCGUGGGGAGCGAACAGG
rnacentral:rRNA from 1 species